GACGAACGCUGGCGGCGUGCUUAACACAUGCAAGUCGAACGGAAAGGCCCUGCUUUUGUGGGGUGCUCGAGUGGCGAACGGGUGAGUAACACGUGAGUAACCUGCCCUUGACUUUGGGAUAACUUCAGGAAACUGGGGCUAAUACCGGAUAGGAGCUCCUGCUGCAUGGUGGGGGUUGGAAAGUUUCGGCGGUUGGGGAUGGACUCGCGGCUUAUCAGCUUGUUGGUGGGGUAGUGGCUUACCAAGGCUUUGACGGGUAGCCGGCCUGAGAGGGUGACCGGCAACAUUGGGAAUGAGUUCGGGCCAGGCGUCCUACGGGAGGAAGCAGGGGGGAAUAGUGCACAAUGGGCGGAAGCCUGAUGCAGCAACUCGGCGGGGGGGAUGAGGGCGUUCGGGUUGUAAACCGAUUUCGCCUGUGACGAAGCGUGAGAGACGGGAAUGGAAAAAGAAGAACGCGCGAACCAGGGG
rnacentral:rRNA from 1 species